UGUCACACUGAGGUCCCUCCAACAUGGCCAUGGCAGAGAUGACAAAACAGUACCCCGACCCGGCCAACCCAACUAACGCUGCCGUGACUGAUCCACACAUCUGGAGGCUUUCAUUCCAACAGCAGCCUGCACAUUUCCCGAGGCUGAUGAACACACCAGCAGGCAGGAACAUCUACAGACACACACACAACGGGGGAAAAUCUCAGGAACAUCUACAGAGACACACACACACAACGGGGGAAAAUCUCAGGAACAUCUACAGAGACACACACACACAACGGGGGAAAAUCUCAGGAACAUCUACAGAGACACACACACAACGGGGGAAAAUCUCAGGAACAUCUACAGAGACACACACAUACACAACGGGGGGAAAAUCUCAGGAACACCUACAGAGACACUCACACAACGGGGGAAAAUCUCAGGAACAUCUACAGAGACACACACACAACGGGGGAAAAUCUCAGGAACAUCUACCGAGACACUCACACAACGGGGGAAAAUCUCAGGAACAUCUAUAG
rnacentral:lncRNA from 13 species